rnacentral:lncRNA from 1 species
UGCAAGUUUAGGUGACCAGGAGGCCUUUUUGCCUAAAAUAAAUCAUCUCCAAAACUUUAUUCGUAGUAGCCAUUGAAAUACUGCUAAGUUAUUAUCAAAAACAUCUGAAUCUUAACCCAUUGACUAUGUCUACGAAGCCUCUACUAAUAAACUGAUGCAUUGCUCAGGACAUGAGAUUGCCUGGCUAGUUCUCCAAGUAAACAAAGAAAUAACUAAAUAAAGAUGACUUAGAGGAAUACUCCACGAACAAAAGCGGAGCUCACCAAUAGUACUGGAAGAGAGGAAAGUCCUAACCUGUAGCCUGCUCGCCUGCAAAACCGGUUCCUACAUUGUACCGCAGACCAACAUAGGUUCCCAAAAGAGAACAUCAGUACCAUCCAUUGUACUCAGUGAGUCUUAACGACAGGGGACAGAACUUUAAUAAAAUAUACAUUAUGAGCAAAGGUUCUAAAUGCAUGGAAAACAUAAAGUUUCUAAGAACAAUUCUAAAAUAAUUACAUAACAGCAGUUUAUGAAUAUUCUAAAAGAAAUUCUUUUCUUUUUCUUUUUUAAAAUAAAAUACUUCACUUCAUACUUCGGGAGUUCCUACUAUCCUAACUUAUUUCUGUCUUAGUCACCGUGUGAUCGGCAUGGGUUCGAUCCCAACCUGAUCGAAUAGGCCCAAUCCACGAGGUGCCACUCGCUUUAUGGUUCUCAACACUCAUGUAUCAUACCUUAGCUUGGCUAGAAAAAUUCUUAGCAACGAGCCCCUCAGUUCUUGUGCUCCCUACUUUGGCACAAGUAGUUUCAGGAAGUCAACGUCUUGGUUAGGACCCUCGGCCUGGACGAUGACCCCUUCUCAGAAUAGAGGAUACUCCCAAAAAUCGUUUCUUUCUAAAACUCCUUCUUCUGACUUUUCAAGUCUAAAUCUUUUCUGGAACAUCCUAUACAUACUCAUACUGGUAUCCUUAAAUGUAAAGCAUGGCAUAAGAAUGAAAUAAACAUUCAAAAAUAUUUCUAAAAAUUCUUGCUUCUUUAUGAAUUUUCAACAUGAAAAUGGCAUAUAAGAAUAACACAAAAAUCUGACAAUUUAUGCACAUAUAUCAAAAUAAAUCAUCUAAACUUUAGCUAGAAAAUAAUUCUAAGCUAAUAGGUACUCACUCGCUCCAAUUAAGUACAUAUUAACUCUUUUAAGCAAUUUAUCAAAUACCUUGUAUGCGUGCUUUUGUGAAUUAAACCACUUUAGUAAAGCGUUAUAUCAACUCACCUCAAAACUCCUCGAGCCAAUACGUAGGCCCCCCAUCCAAUUUAUACCCGUGAAACAAUCGAUUCUACAACAACCAAUGUAUUUUAAUUAAUUUCAAAGUUUCACCCCUAAAUAUGGAACUUACUGUAUCAACAGAGAAAGAAGAGAAUUAACAAUUCAAUUUUUUUACCUACUACUACUGUAGGAUAAUUGACAAUAGGAAUUUUAUAUACGUGAGUUCAAGAACUAGUGAUUUGUAAAGAAACCUAGAAUUUUUUGUUGCAUGCUGGGACGUGAUUCUGUUUCGCUGGGACGUGAACCGUAGAAAUCUGUUGCUUUGAUUUUUUCUAACCUUUCGUCCAAGGCUUAAGGCUUUAAGCCUUUUGCUUUACAACAGCCCUUUAUGUGCUUUAGGCUUGGCCUCCUGUUUUGUUAUUUUAUUGCUUUUCUCUUUUUAUUUUGUUUUAAUUUAACUAAUAAUUAAUGAUACCCAUUUUUAAUAAUUAAUAAUAUUAAAAUUAUUAAUAUUUCCUUAAUUAUAUAUUCAAUUAUUUAUAAAUAGGGAAGUAACUCAAAAGUCAAUCACAAGGGUUUAAAUCCGUAAUAGAAGUAUAAUUUUUAUGCACUCAGGACAAGAUUUUAAAAAAAAAUUAAAUUCUAUAAUUAGCGUGUGUUGAAACUUUUAUAGAUUUGAGGAGUGUUACAAUUUUUUCUCCUUAAAAACAUUCAUCCUCGAAUGUUGUUAGGGCCUUAUUCUUAAGCUAACAAUCAUUCUUUAAUUCCUUGAACAUCUUAAAUUUUCUUAGCACUACUCACUUUCCCAAGGGACGCUAAAUUUUGGCUAACUCCCUAAAUUUUUAAAUAUUUCGGCAGAGUCUCCACUGUAAAUUGGACUAUCCAAAAAAAUAUCCUUGUCACAAAUACCACAACUACACCAACAACAACAAUAUAUACCAUAACAGGUCAUUCAUAGGCACCAUAAACAACUUAUAAACCAAUUACUUACACUCCGGUAAGGAGGUACCACAAUAGCCAACUAAAAUCUAAAGCACAACACUUCAGCAGAAAGUAAAUAACUUUAAUGAAUUAUAUGUACUCUGGCAUUGUACUAAAUUAUUUAAUAACUAAAUAUACUCUGACAUAAACUAAAUUACUUCAACAACUAAGUAUAAUUUAGCAAGGACAUAAACACAUGCUAACUUGUAUUUAAUAAAUAAAAUAUAAAUGCCAAGUCAAACCUAGGUUCACAUACCUUGUUCCUCAAAUAAAUAAGGGUACUUCUUCCUCAUAUCCUCCUCGACCUCCGACGUAGCCUCUUUUGAAUCAUGAUUAUUUCACAAAACUUUUACCAAUGCUAUAUCUUUUGUUCUCAACUUUCUUACUUGCCUAUCGAGGGUUUCUAUAGGUAUCUCUUCAUAAGUCAAGCCUUCUUUAAUUUCUAUGGUAUCGACACGUAUUAUAUAUGACUCAUCAUGAAUGUACUUUCUAAGCAUAGACACAUGAAAUACAGGAUGAACAGAGGACAACUCAACGGGCAACGCUAGCUCAUAAGCCACGUUUCCUUUCUUUUCUAUAAUUUCAUAAGGUCCGAUAAAUCUAGGACUAAGUUUCCCUUUCUUAUCAAACCUCAUAACUCCUUUCAUUGGUAAAACUUUCAAAAACACCUUAUCACCAACCAUGAACUCUAAGUCACGAUGCCUCUUGUCAAAACAAGACUUUUGACGACUCUGAACCGCUUUCUGUCUUUAUCUGAUUAGCUGAACUUUCUCUAAGGCCUCGCAAACAAACUCUGGACCAAUCAAUGACACCUUUGCUAGUUCAAACCAACCCACUGGAGACCUACAUCUUCGCCCAUACAACACUUUAUAAGGAGCCAUACCAAUGCUGACCUGAUAGCUGUUAUUAUAAGCAAAUUCUAUAAGUGGCAAGUGAUCAUCCCAAUUAUCUCCAAAAUCUAUAACACAUGCACGCAACAUAUCUUCGAGAGUCUGAAUGGUCCUUUCUGCCUGGCCAUCGGUCUGUGGAUGGAAAGCGGUGCUCAAAUUGACCUUAGUACCUAAUUUUUUCUGAAAUGCCUGCCAAAAAUGCGCCGUGAACUGAGGGUCUCUGUCAUAUAUGAUUGAAACUGGAGUACCAUGCAAUCAGACUAUUUCUUUGAUGUACAACUACGCAUACUGCUCUGCAGAAUCUAUCAUCUUCACUGGUAGGAAAUGCGUGGACUUUGUCAAUCGGUCUACAAUAACCCAAAUUGAAUCAUGCUUACGGUAUGUGCGAGGCAGACCUACUACGAAAUCCAUAUUAAUCAUCUCCCAUUUCCAUUGUGGUAUCUCUAUAUCUUGAGCUAGGCCACCAGGCCUCUGAUACUCGGCUUUGACUUGCUGGCAAUUCAAACAUUUGACCACAUGAUCUGCUACUUGCUUCUUCAUGCCUUUCCACCAAUACAACUCUUUCAAGUCCAGAUACAUUUUGGUAGAACCUGGGUUGAUAGAGUACCUCGAGCUGUGAGCUUCUUCCGUUAUGGUCUUCCUAAGACCAUCUACAUCAGGCACAAAUAACCGAUCAUUCAACUUCAAAACUCCAUUACUUCCUAGAGUGAAAGCAAUGAUUUCUUUGUUUCUGACUCCUUCUUUUAACUUCACUAAGUACGGAUCUUCGUCUUGUUUAGCCUCAACAUGUACAACAAGAGAGGAUUGCGCUAAGGCACAAACAAUUAUAACUCGUUCGGUCUCAUCCAACCUAAUUCCAUCAUUUGCCAGUUUUUGAAUUUCUCGACCCAAAGUUCACAUUUGUACUGCAAGAUGGGCCAUGACACCCAUUGACUUCCUACUAAGUGCAUCUGCUACCAUAUUAGCUUUGCCCGGGUGAUAAAGGAUAUUGAUGUCAUAAUCCUUCAAUAGCUCAACACACCUUCUAUGUCUCAAAUAUAAUUCUUUCUACUUGAAAAUAUACUGGAGACUUUUGUGAUCUGUAAACACUUCCGAAUGCUCGCCAUAAAGGUUGUGUCUCCAUAUCUUUAAUGCAAACACCACUGCUGCAAGCUCCAAAUCGUGUAUGGGGUAGUUCUUCUCAUGAUUCUUUAACUACCUGGAAGCAUAAGCAAUAACUUUUUCAUCUUGCAUAAGAACACACCCAAGACCAACUCUGGAGGCAUCACAAUACACUGUGAAACCACUAGAACAUGACGGCAAGGUUAACACAAGUGUAAUGGUCAACCUCUUCGUUAACACUUGAAAACUCUGCUCACAAGCGUCUGACCACUGGAACUUAACUGCUUUCUGGGUCAACUUAGUUAAUGGAGCUGCAAGUGAGGAAAAUCCCUCUACAAACCUACUAUAGUAGCAGCUAAUCCCAAGAAACUCCUGAUUUCGGUUGGCGUUGUCGGCAUUGGUCAGUUCUUGACUGCUUCUAUCUUCUGAGGGUCUACUUGUAAUCCUUCACUAGAUACCACGUGGCCUAAGAAUGUCACUGACUGUAACCAGAACUCACAUUUUAAAAACUUGGUUCCUACGUUGUACCGCAGACCAACAUAGGUUCCCAAAAGAGAACGUCAGUACCAUCCAUUGUACCUAGUGAGUCUCAACGAUAGAGGAUGAUACUUUAAUAAAAUAUACAUUACGGGCAAAGGUUCUAAAUACAUGGAAAACAUAAAGCUUCUAAGAACAAUUCUAAAAUAAUUGCAUAACAGUAGUUUAUGAAUAUUCUAAAAGAAAUUCUUUUCUUUUUCUUUCUUAAAAUAAAAUACUUUACUUCAUACUUCGGGAGUUUCUACUAUCCUGACUUAUUUCUAUCUUAGUCACCGUGUGAUCGGCACGGGUUCGAUCCCAACCUGACCGAAUAGGCCCAAUCCACGAGGUGCCACUCACUUCAUGGUUCUCAGCACUCAUGUAUCAUACCUUAGCUUGGCUAGAAAAAUUCUUAGCAACGAGACCCUCGGCUCGUGUGCUCCCUACUUUGGCACAAGUAGUUUCAGGAAGUCAACGUCUUGGUCAGGACCCUCGGCCUGGACGAUAACCCCUUCUCAGAAUAGAGGAUACUCCCAAAAAUCGUUUCUUUCUAAAACUCCUUCUUGUGACUUUUCAAGUCUAAAUCUUUUCUGGAACAUCCUAUACAUACUCAUACUGGUAUCCUUAAAUGUAAAGCAUGGCAUAAGAAUGAAAUAAACAUUCAAAAGUAUUUCUAAAAAUUCUUGCUUCUUUAUGAAUUUUCAACAUGAAAAUGGCAUAUAAGAAUAACACAAAAAUCUGAUAAUUUAUGCAUAUAUAUCAAAAUAAAUCAUCUAAACCUUAGCUAGAAAAUAAUUCUAAGCUAAUAGGUACUCACUCGCUCCAAUUAAGUACAUAUUAACUCUUUUAAACAAUUCAUCAAACACCUUGUAUGUGUGCUUUUGUGAGUUAAACCACUUUAGUAUAUCAACUCACCUCAAAACUCCUCGAGCCAAGUAGGCCCCCCCCGUCCAAUUUAUACCCGUCAAAUAAUCGAUUCUACAACAACCAGUGUAUUUUAAUUAAUUUUAAAUUUUUACCCCUUAAACAUGGAACUUACUGUAUCAACAGAGAAAGAAGAGAAUUAACAAUUUAAUUUUUUUACCUACUACUACUAUAAGAUAAUUGACAAUAGAAAUUUUAUAUACCUGAGUUUAAGAACUAGUGAUUUGUAAAAAAACCUAGGAUUUUUCAUUGCCUGCUGGGACGUGAUUCUGUUUCGCUGGGACGUGAACCGUAGAUGUCUGUUGCUUUGAUUUUCCCUAACCUUUCGUCCGAGGCUUAUUAAGCCUUUUGCUUUUCAACAGCCC